AGUUUGAUCCUGGCUCAGGAUGAACGCUGGCGGCGUGCCUAAUACAUGCAAGUCGAGCGAACAGACGAGGAGCUUGCUCCUUUGACGUUAGCGGCGGACGGGUGAGUAACACGUAGGUAACCUACCUAUAAGACUGGGAUAACUUCGGGAAACCGGAGCUAAUACCGGAUAAUAUUUCGAACCGCAUGGUUCGAUAGUGAAAGAUGGCUUUGCUAUCACUUAUAGAUGGACCUGCGCCGUAUUAGCUAGUUGGUAAGGUAACGGCUUACCAAGGCAACGAUACGUAGCCGACCUGAGAGGGUGAUCGGCCACACUGGAACUGAGACACGGUCCAGACUCCUACGGGAGGCAGCAGUAGGGAAUCUUCCGCAAUGGGCGAAAGCCUGACGGAGCAACGCCGCGUGAGUGAUGAAGGUCUUCGGAUCGUAAAACUCUGUUAUUAGGGAAGAACAAACGUGUAAGUAACUGUGCACGUCUUGACGGUACCUAAUCAGAAAGCCACGGCUAACUACGUG
rnacentral:rRNA from 1 species